rnacentral:tRNA from 1 species
GGAGAGGUGUCAGAGCGGCCGAAUGAGCACGCUUGGAAAGCGUGUAGGCGGGAAACUGCCUCGAGGGUUCAAAUCCCUCCCUCUCCGCCA